rfam:Lactobacillus farciminis strain CNCM-I-3699-S genome.
ACCAACAAAAGAGGUCGCAAUCGACAUGAGUAAAUGAGGGAGCUUCUGUAAAAGCUUUGAACUUAUUGAAAGGGGAAGUUGCCGAAGCACUAAAUUUUACAGGAUUUAGCGAGCUGGGGCGUAUUACAAGAUGAUACGAACUGUCGUGAUCAAAAGUCGGUCACGUUGAGCUUAUGACAAA